rnacentral:rRNA from 1 species
AGAGUUUGAUCCUGGCUCAGAUUGAACGCUGGCGGCAGGCCUAACACAUGCAAGUCGAACGGUAACAGGAAGCAGCUUGCUGUUUCGCUGACGAGUGGCGGACGGGUGAGUAAUGUCUGGGAAACUGCCUGAUGGAGGGGGAUAACUACUGGAAACGGUAGCUAAUACCGCAUAACGUCGCAAGACCAAAGAGGGGGACCUUCGGGCCUCUUGCCAUCGGAUGUGCCCAGAUGGGAUUAGCUAGUAGGUGGGGUAACGGCUCACCUAGGCGACGAUCCCUAGCUGGUCUGAGAGGAUGACCAGCCACACUGGAACUGAGACACGGUCCAGACUCCUACGGGAGGCAGCAGUGGGGAAUAUUGCACAAUGGGCGCAAGCCUGAUGCAGCCAUGCCGCGUGUAUGAAGAAGGCCUUCGGGUUGUAAAGUACUUUCAGCGGGGAGGAAGGGAGUAAAGUUAAUACCUUUGCUCAUUGACGUUACCCGCAGAAGAAGCACCGGCUAACUCCGUGCCAGCAGCCGCGGUAAUACGGAGGGUGCAAGCGUUAAUCGGAAUUACUGGGCGUAAAGCGCACGCAGGCGGUUUGUUAAGUCAGAUGUGAAAUCCCCGGGCUCAACCUGGGAACUGCAUCUGAUACUGGCAAGCUUGAGUCUCGUAGAGGGGGGUAGAAUUCCAGGUGUAGCGGUGAAAUGCGUAGAGAUCUGGAGGAAUACCGGUGGCGAAGGCGGCCCCCUGGACGAAGACUGACGCUCAGGUGCGAAAGCGUGGGGAGCAAACAGGAUUAGAUACCCUGGUAGUCCACGCCGUAAACGAUGUCGACUUGGAGGUUGUGCCCUUGAGGCGUGGCUUCCGGAGCUAACGCGUUAAGUCGACCGCCUGGGGAGUACGGCCGCAAGGUUAAAACUCAAAUGAAUUGACGGGGGCCCGCACAAGCGGUGGAGCAUGUGGUUUAAUUCGAUGCAACGCGAAGAACCUUACCUGGUCUUGACAUCCACAGAACUUUCCAGAGAUGGAUUGGUGCCUUCGGGAACUGUGAGACAGGUGCUGCAUGGCUGUCGUCAGCUCGUGUUGUGAAAUGUUGGGUUAAGUCCCGCAACGAGCGCAACCCUUAUCCUUUGUUGCCAGCGGUCCGGCCGGGAACUCAAAGGAGACUGCCAGUGAUAAACUGGAGGAAGGUGGGGACGACGUCAAGUCAUCAUGGCCCUUACGACCAGGGCUACACACGUGCUACAAUGGCGCAUACAAAGAGAAGCGACCUCGCGAGAGCAAGCGGACCUCAUAAAGUGCGUCGUAGUCCGGAUUGGAGUCUGCAACUCGACUCCAUGAAGUCGGAAUCGCUAGUAAUCGUGGAUCAGAAUGCCACGGUGAAUACGUUCCCGGGCCUUGCACACACCGCCGGUCA